UGCCUUUGUGUUGCCCAUUUACUUUUGGAAACUAGUGAAUGUGGUGUCAAAAAAGGCAUAAAUUAAUGCUUUGCAGGCUUUUCCUGCCCUUAAAUUUUAUAUCUUAGGGUAGGACCUGCAUAAGGAACAGCA
rnacentral:snoRNA from 1 species